AUACAGAGGGUGCGAGCGUUAAUCGGAAUUACUGGGCGUAAAGCGCGCGUAGGCGGUCAAUUAAGUCAGAUGUGAAAUCCCCGGGCUCAACCUGGGAACUGCAUCUAAUACGGGGUAGCUAGAGUUUAGGAGAGGGAAGUAGAAUUUCAGGUGUAGCGGUGAAAUGCAUAGAGAUCUGAAGGAAUACCAGUGGCGAAGGCGGCUUCCCGGCCUAAAACUGACGCUGAGGUGCGAAAGCGUGGGUAGCAAACGGGAUUAGAUACCCCUGUAGUCC
rnacentral:rRNA from 1 species